GCUUUAUUAUAUUAUAUAAGUGUAACUAAAGUAACCUCGUCACUGGCUUUUGGAGGGGCCUGUUUGCCAGCCUCCUACCCUGUGAUUAUGGCCGUGUGACAAGCUGAACCUCGUCAUUGCCUCAGGACUAUGAGCCCUGCAUUAUACCUUGCCCAACGCACUUUAAAAGGCUCUCUUCUUGUGAAGUAUGUACUUUUGUACUCCGGACAGAGAGACCGACCGUUAG